UAGCUUGCUACCUGACCUAGCGGCGGACGGGUGAGUAAUGCUUAGGAAUCUGCCUAUUAGUGGGGGACAACAUUCCGAAAGGAAUGCUAAUACCGCAUACGCCCUACGGGGGAAAGCAGGGGAUCUUCGGACCUUGCGCUAAUAGAUGAGCCUAAGUCAGAUUAGCUAGUUGGUGGGGUAAAGGCCUACCAAGGCGACGAUCUGUAGCGGGUCUGAGAGGAUGAUCCGCCACACUGGGACUGAGACACGGCCCAGACUCCUACGGGAGGCAGCAGUGGGGAAUAUUGGACAAUGGGCGAAAGCCUGAUCCAGCCAUGCCGCGUGUGUGAAGAAGGCCUUUUGGUUGUAAAGCACUUUAAGCGAGGAGGAGGCUACUUAGAUUAAUACUCUAGGAUAGUGGACGUUACUCGCAGAAUAAGCACCGGCUAACUCUGUGCCAGCAGCCGCGGUAAUACAGAGGGUGCGAGCGUUAAUCGGAUUUACUGGGCGUAAAGCGUGCGUAGGCGGCUUUUUAAGUCGGAUGUGAAAUCCCUGAGCUUAACUUAGGAAUUGCAUUCGAUACUGGGAAGCUAGAGUAUGGGAGAGGAUGGUAGAAUUCCAGGUGUAGCGGUGAAAUGCGUAGAGAUCUGGAGGAAUACCGAUGGCGAAGGCAGCCAUCUGGCCUAAUACUGACGCUGAGGUACGAAAGCAUGGGGAGCAAACAGGAUUAGAUACCCUGGUAGUCCAUGCCGUAAACGAUGUCUACUAGCCGUUGGGGCCUUUGAGGCUUUAGUGGCGCAGCUAACGCGAUAAGUAGACCGCCUGGGGAGUACGGUCGCAAGACUAAAACUCAAAUGAAUUGACGGGGGCCCGCACAAGCGGUGGAGCAUGUGGUUUAAUUCGAUGCAACGCGAAGAACCUUACCUGGUCUUGACAUAGUAAGAACUUUCCAGAGAUGGAUUGGUGCCUUCGGGAACUUACAUACAGGUGCUGCAUGGCUGUCGUCAGCUCGUGUCGUGAGAUGUUGGGUUAAGUCCCGCAACGAGCGCAACCCUUUUCCUUAUUUGCCAGCGGGUUAAGCCGGGAACUUUAAGGAUACUGCCAGUGACAAACUGGAGGAAGGCGGGGACGACGUCAAGUCAUCAUGGCCCUUACGACCAGGGCUACACACGUGCUACAAUGGUCGGUACAAAGGGUUGCUACCUAGCGAUAGGAUGCUAAUCUCAAAAAGCCGAUCGUAGUCCGGAUUGGAGUCUGCAACUCGACUCCAUGAAGUCG
rnacentral:rRNA from 1 species